CAUCCAUUGUAGGAUCCCUCCAUAACAUUUUGUAUGUGAUACACUUGGCUUGUUGCAAGUAUCACACUUGUAUUAUUGCAUAUUGUUAGAAAUUGAUGUUCUUCUUAAGCCCAUAUCCAUUGUGAUCCAAGCCCAUCCAUUGUAGGAUCCCUCCAUAACAUUUUGUAUGUGAUACACUUGGCUUGUUGCAAGUAUCACACUUGUAUUAUUGCAUGUAGUUUCCCUUACCACUUGUAUAGAUGCAUGUAUUUUCUUUA